AACGAACGCUGGCGGCAGGCUUAACACAUGCAGGUCGAACGGUUGCAGCAAUGCAGCAGUGGCAGACGGGUGAGUAACACGUGGGAACCUUCCUAGGGGUACGGAACAACUCAGGGAAACUUGAGCUAAUACCGUAUACGUCCGUGAGGAGAAAGAUUUAUCGCCCUUAGACGGGCCCGCGUCGGAUUAGCUAGUUGGUGGGGUAACGGCCUACCAAGGCGACGAUCCGUAGCUGAUCUUAGAGGAUGAUCAGCCACACUGGGACUGAGACACGGCCCAGACUCCUACGGGAGGCAGCAGUGGGGAAUCUUGGACAAUGGGCGCAAGCCUGAUCCAGCCAUGCCGCGUGAGUGAAGAAGGUCUUCGGAUUGUAAAGCUCUUUUGCCAGGGACGAUAAUGACGGUACCUGGAGAAUAAGCCCCGGCAAACUUCGUGCCAGCCGCCGCCGUAACAC
rnacentral:rRNA from 1 species